rnacentral:rRNA from 1 species
AACGAACGCUGGCGGCAUGCCUAACACAUGCAAGUCGAACGAGACCUUCGGGUCUAGUGGCGCACGGGUGCGUAACGCGUGGGAACCUGCCCUUAGGUUCGGAAUAACUCCCCGAAAGGGGUGCUAAUACCGGAUAAUGUCUUCGGACCAAAGAUUUAUCGCCUUUGGAUGGGCCCGCGUUGGAUUAGCUAGUUGGUAGGGUAAAAGCUUACCAAGGCGACGAUCCAUAGCUGGUCUGAGAGGAGGAUCAGCCACACUGGGACUGAGACACGGCCCAGACUCCUACGGGAAGCAGCAGUGGGGAAUAUUGGACAAUGGGCGAAAGCCUGAUCCAGCAACGCCGGGUGAGUGAUGAAGGCCUUGGGGUUGUAAAGCUCUUUUAACCGGGAUGAUAAUGACAGUACCGGGAGAAUAAGCUCCGGCUAACUCCGUG